GCGUCCGUAGCUCAGCUGGAUAGAGCACCGGGCUUCGAACCCGGUGGUCGGGGGUUCGAGUCCCUCCGGGCGCGCCA
rnacentral:tRNA from 2 species